UAAUAAUAAGACUGGGGAUUUUUUCUUCUCUCAUUCUCUCUCUUGCUCUUCACUAUUUGUUUUUGUUUCUCUCUUUGAUUAUUUGCAUUUGCCAGAAAGCGAUAUUCCACACAAACAACAAUAAUCAUCAACUCAGACUCAGAAAUUCAAUCUUGUUCUUGAAAUCUAGAUCUUCAAUUCAACAUGGUAUCAGAUAUACAGGUUUUCUGUUCUUCUUCAUCCUAUCUUCGCCAACGACAAUCAACUGAUUUGUUCAUUCGCAAAAACCUAAUCACGAUUCUGGUUUAUUCUUUCUUUAUCUUCUGCUUCAUCAAUUGAUUUGUUCAAUUCUGGUUUCGAUUCUGGUUUUUCUGUUCAAUUGAUUGGUUUGUUCGUUCAAUUGGUUCAAUUGAUUUGGUUUCUCAGAAAUUCAAUCUUGUUCUUGAAAUCUAGAUCUUCAAUUCAACAUUAAGUUCAUUGACUUAUCGAUAUUAGUAAUUCCUUUUGGUGUUAUAAAAUUAAUAUUUUAAAUUUUCAACGGUCAGCAAACCUCUCCAAUUUAAAGUAUUUUUAAGAGUUUCACAAAUAUUAGAGCUUUUUUCCUUUUGUAUAUGAUGGACAAUUUCUAUUUGGUCGUUAUAUUGCUUGAUCCAUGUGGAUAAAAUCAAAUCAAUAUAUGUACCAUCUGAAUUAUAAGAUCUUAACACGCAAAAUCCUUUUGACACUUUUACUACAUGUUCAUCCUCACAUCUUUGAAGUUGUCGUACUCUUGAACUUACAUAUGUAGAUUAUUUUAUGUAUAUACUGAAAUUUAAUUCAAGUUUGUGGAUAAAUCUUGUAAUAUUCGAGAUAUUUUUAAAUAAAUUAAAAAUAGGAAAAUAAAUAAUUAACAAUGUAAAAUUUAGAAAAUUUAAACAAAAUACUAAAUUUGUAAAAAAAAUAUUCAUUUAAAACUAAAAAUAAAAAUAAAAAUUAGGUUUAAUAAAAUAAAUAAAUAAAAUAAAAUAAGAUUAAAAAAACCCAAAAAUUUAGGAAUAAUUUUAAUAUAAAAAAAAUUGAAUUUGAAAAACUCAUUUUCAUGGUUACUUAUAAAAAAGUCAAAAUUAAACUUACUUCCCCCACAUUCUAAAAUAACUCCUCAUUUAACUCCAUUAUUCUUUCCACUCUUCCCUUUAAUUCUAACCAACAUUAUUUCUAUAUUAUAAAUUAAGCAAUUUACUCUUUAAAUUAUUUCAUCGUAUUGAUUUUCUUUCUUCUUCUUCUAAUUAUUCUUUUUCUUUCAUCAACCAUUUUUCUUUCUUUACAUCUAUUAUUUUCAAUUUCUUUUUCACCUUGAUAGUAUUUUUUUUAGCCAUUUUCUUUGGACAAAUUACAAACAACAAUUAUACUUUAAAUGUAAAGUUCGUAAAUAAAAGUUGAUAGGAGCGUACAUUUAUAUUUUAGGGCUGUUUUACAAGGUAAUCCUCAAAUCUCAAUGUCAAUCCAAUUAGGAUUAUCCUGUUAAUAUUAUGUGCUAAGUGAUACUUGAGGUGUUUAAAUUGGAAGCGCGAUUUUGUAUGAUAUUAUACUUUUUAUAUUUUAUUUUUAGAUUAUAUUUACUACUUUUGUUAAUAGUUUGAUUUAUAAUAUUAUUUUAUGAAAUUUAUAUUAUUAUUUUAUUUUAAUGACAAAUUUAAAAUAGGGUUGAGUUUGGGAGAAAAAUAUUUAUGAUAUUAAUUCCUAUUGCCACCAAUUGAUAUUAAAAUGCUGAUUUGGAAAAUGAGAUUACAAUUGAAUACUAUUGAGAUAUAUAUUUGUUAGGAAAAUUUAUGAUCCUAAAAUAAAAUAAUAAUGUUUGUUUAAUUAUAUGUUUGUGUGUUCGCGACUAAUUUUUAAAAUAUAUUAAAUCACGUAAAGUAUAACAUGAUGAAAAUAAAACUCUUAUCUGUGUUGUGAUCCAAGUGUAAUGGUGAUGAACAAAUUGCCCUGUUUAAUUAGUAUAGCUGCCGACAGGUAUUAUUAUUUCUACUACUUGAUACAAUGUUUGGUCUUCCUUCUAUUUGUUGUGAUCUAAAUAAAAGGGGUGUGCACACUAGGGUUACCUGAGACUACUCUGCUGGCCUUGAUGAAUUAUAUUAUUAGCUCAACUAUAUAUUAUUUUUUUAAAAUUAUUUUCAGCUUGAUUAUAAUUUCUAUUCUUAAACUAUUCUUUUCAAACUAAAUUGUUUUACGGGAUGGAGUUGGAAUUACUCAAUUUCCUAAUUUUAAGAGUUUUUCCCUUGUUUUUCUUGCAUUCUUAUUUUGCAGGUUAUUAAUCGUAUGGGGUUCGUGGAGUGAGGUUCACCUAAAAAUUAGUUUUUGUUAGUAAUCAUGUCCCAUUUUAAAUGUCACUUCCAGUUGUAAAAAUUAUUUAAAGUUCCCAUAAUUAGGCUUUGGUUUAUGUUUUUCCUUAAAAAUCCUUUUUAAAAUUAGACCUAAUUAUUAGGGUGUUACAAAUCUAAAGUGGGGGAGUACAUAUGUUGAUGGGAGUUUAGAAAAUAAAUAUUAUGAAGUAGAUCUUGAUGAUAGUGCAAGUAGUGAAGAUGUUGAAUUAGAUGAUGAGUUGGAGGAAGAUAUUUUAGUUGAUGAGUUAGAAGAUGUUAAGGGAUUCAAUGAUGAAGAGUUUGUAGCUACAAGAGAUAAGUUAUUUAUACACCCGAUGAAAGAAAUCUGACUCAUUUGCCCGAGCAAGUUGGAGGACGAAACUCAAUUACUCACCUCUUCUUAGAAACUGUAUCUCAACCAACUCAAGCAUCUACCGCAAAUAAUGUUAUUCAUUAGCAUACCAGUUAGUUUUUGUACCUGACACAAUUUUUGGGUUCGUUAUUGAACAGUUACGUUAUGUUUA